AUCAAGGACAUCCAUUCCGCGAAGGACACCAACCAUACCGAAUGACGAUUCCUACUACCAAACACACGAUUUGUGUGGGCACUGCUUCCUCUGUCUUCUUCUUCUGCCUCUACGGUUUCUGGUUAGAAUCAGAUUCAUGAAGCUGGUGAAAGGACGAGUCCGCUUUCGAAUCGUCUAUGGCCAAAUCUCUGCUUUCGACUAGGAGGAGGCUCCAGCUUAAUCCUCCCUCCCAGUGGACCUUCUGCCCAGCUUCGUGGGCGCUGCCUCGUCCCCAAACGACACUUUGGAGUGGAAAUGCACGUGCUUUUACAAGAACAGGGCUUGGAUGGAGUUCCACAACAAGAGCGGCACUAAAUUUGGCGGUGGUACCCUUCACAUCAAGCCUCCAAAAUCAAAGCGUUUAUCGAUAAGGUGAUCCAGUGUCCAUUACAAGAUAUCGCUAUACCUCUUUCAGGUUUUCGUUGGGAGUACAGUAAGGGGAACUUUCACCAUGGAGGCCACUGUUUCUGCAUUUUGAUACAUAUUUCAAGACAUACCUUUCCUAGAAUUCAAGACAUACCUUUCUUCUAGGAAUGACCUCCUCUUGUCAGAUAAAAUUUUAGAAGAUGAUGGUCCAUUUCCAAAGCAUGCAAUUCUACAAAUUUUACGAGUAAUGCAAACAAUUUUAGAGAAUUGCCAUAACAAGAGUUCAUUUGAUGGCUUAGAGAAUUUCAAGCUCCUGCUUGCAUCAACAGAUCCAGAGUUCUUAUAGCUACACUAGAAACUCUUUCUGCACUUGUGAAAAUAAACCCAUCCAAGCUGCAUGGAGGUGGGAAAUUAAUUGGUUGUGGCUCAGUAAAUAGCUAUCUAUUGUGUCUACACAGGGGUGGGAAAGCAAGGAGGAGGGCUUGGUACCCUUCACAUCAAGGCCUGGAAUUUGAGCUUGCUUGUUUUCUUUCGUUUUUAGUUGGUUUUGUUCGAUUCUGGAGUAUUGGGUAUUGUAGUUGGAUUUUGCUGCUGUCUCGAAUGAGCAAUGCUUAGGAGAAGCAUUUUUUCCGGAUUUCAUCUGGGAAAAAUGCUUCUCCAUGGCAUUGUUGUAAUUAAAAUAUUACAGUAAUGCCAUUUUUAAUUACAAUAAUGCCAUGGAAAAGCAUUUUUUCCGGAUGAUGUCCGGAAGAAGUGCUUCUCCUAAGCAUUAGCCGUCUCGAAUUGAACUUGGAUUUUUGGGUCUAUUUUGCUUGUUUUGUUUGAGUUUAGUUGGUUUUGUUGUAAUUUGGAGUAUUGGGCAUCUAAUUUUGGCAGUAAAACCCGCCACAUCAAGCUCUUCAAUUAAAGUUGCUUUUUAUGACAUCGUUGUGCUUGUUUUCUUUGGUUUUAGUUGUGUUUUGUUGGAUUUUGGAGUAUUGGGUAUAUCUGGGUAUUCUACUUGAAUUGAACUGGUGUCUGGAAUUGAACAUAGUUUUAUGGGUUUAUAUUUCUUGUUUUGUUUAAGUUGGUUUUAUUGUAAUUUGGAUUCUUGGGACCUACCUUAGAUGUUUGUGAUUUAAGUCGAGGAUGAGGCUGCCAUUACGGAAGAGGAUUGAAAACAAUAGGAUGUUGGCGUGUGCCUAUUAAACUCUAAUACCAUAAAACGAAUUGCAAACUAAAGGGUUUAUUUGUCAAUACUUGUACAGAGGAUGCUACAACAUUAUAUAUUGGUUUACAAGUAUCAGGGAUGAUGUGGCUGGUUUGUAUCUCUCCAAUUGGUCAAGAGAUGUAGCUGUUCUUCAGAAAAAAUUCUCCAUACAAGGUUUUGUGAUUGAUCAUGAUGAUUCUUGAUUCGGGUUUUAUGAUGGAAAACAGGGCCAGUUGCUUGCCAUACCUGCCCGAGGAAGAGAAGCGGAUAUGAACAAAUCAGAGGCUAAGAAGGCAACCUUUACUACGUCAUUUCCAAUAGAUAAUACUAGCAUGGCGUUUGGUUCACAAGCUACAAGGGAGUACACCCGUGGGUCUCCACCAGAGCUGUUGCACGUGCAGGUUGGUGGUGGUUUCGAGAGAAGAAUAUGGUCUAUGAAAUCGCCAUUCAUGCCCCCCUUAAAAAAAAAAAUGAAGUCCUUAAUUGGUAAUAAAAGCAUUAAGAGGCAAUGCUUACUCAUUUAGUGGUUAAACCAAAUAUACCCCAACAUGUUAAAUUAAAAAGAGAUACAUCAGCCAUGGAGCUAUGGAAUUGUUGUCCGUAAGACUGAUUUGGUAGGGUUUAUGUAUAGGUUAUUAGGACCAUUGAAAGGGAAAUAUAAAAAUAGAUAUGCUAUUAUGGUGAUAAUUCAUACAUGUAUGCUUUUUAAGGUUCAUGAUGCAUUAUAAUGAAAAAACAUUUGAUAGAA